rnacentral:lncRNA from 1 species
GCUCUUAUAUUUAUAGAGGGAGUACAUGAUCUCACAAACAUUGGCUUGAAAUCUCAAACGCCACUCUCUCCCGUUGAGUUGGCACAAAAGGAACGUAUGCCAUGUUUUUUCCGAAAAGGAUCCGGAUCUAUUACGUAUUAAAGUUUAUCAAAAGUACGAAACAUCUCAAACACAAUAAAAACUACAUUAAAUUGUUGAGACCGGCCAUUACCACCACUAGAACGAGUUGAUCCCCUACCAGAGCUGGUUUGACCUUAUCGAUGACAUCCAACAGGCCUUUGUGCACGUGCCCCUAAGGACUAGCGCCCUGCUGCAAUCAUCCUCAUUGAAUCUUGAAUAGAUCUGAAGCACCUGACAUCAUCAAAUAUCACCACACGACAAAAAAUGUUAACCUCAUCACCCCGAGGAGAUAGCGCAAAUCUAUGCCAGAGCUCCUGCAUCCAGAUGAACAAACUUGAAAGAAGUAAAACCAUCGGCCUGAGUGCCACACAUGCAAGGAUUAACAAAACUAACCUAAACUACUAACUCGAGGAGGUACCGUGAUCCCCCUUCCUGCCACCGGCCGCUGGAGUGGUAGGCAGAGGGAAGAAGAAUCCACGGGCUCACCGACAAAGCUUAAAGGGGAGAGUUUGCCCUAGCCGCCAAGGACUAGGGGAGGAAAAGUUGAAGACGAUUUUAUCAUUUACUCUCUCCGUUCCUAAAUAUAGUCUUUUUAGAGAUUUCACUAAAUGACUACAUACGGAACAAAAUGAGUGAAUCUAUACUCUAAAGUAUGUCUAUAUGUAUCCAUAUGUAAUCUUCUAGUGGAACCUCUAAAAAGACUUAUAUUUAGGAACGGGGGAGUAUGAUCUAACUUGGAAUGUGUGACAUGUUGCUUCAUACAACUCCCUUUAUUCCGUAAUGUAGUGCACAUAUAUCUUCACAAAUUCAAACUUCAUCGAAAUUGAUUAAAUUUGAGAACAAAUUGUAUGUAUAUAUAAUAUCAAAUCAAUAUCAUUAUAUAUAGGAUGAUACAUAUUUUUGUAUAUUUAUUUAGUACUAUUUUUGUUAGUUCUUUAAUAAUUUGGCGAAACAUUACAAUAUUUAUUAAUAUUUGGAAAAUAAAAACUACACACAAUAUAUAUGAAACGAAGGGAGCAAAAGGGAACUUCAUGGCCUGAGGCAAGCUCGAGUUAUUUAUCUAAAACCAUCACACUUGAGGUUAGUGUAACAACUUGAUACCACAUUUGAGCCAGAGUACAAAAUAACAUGAGUUCUGCGCCUAAUGCGUAACACAAAGCACUAACGCUCGAAUUUGAUCAUGAAAACAGCAAAACCGACAGAUGAGACCCACCUGGCUGACGUGGUGAAUACCAAACACAAACAAAGCUUUGACGGACUGAGAUGGCAGAUGAGAAGCAUGCCCCACCUGUCAAUGACUGAACAAUCAUCUUCUUCUCAUCUUACUACCUUGGGGCAUUACGUCGAGCAACUUCUGAGCAUUUCACUUCUCGCCGGCAGUAGCACACACAAAGUCCACGAACUCGCCCAUUUUUGGUUGGAGCUACCGCCGGGCUCGACUGUUGCGCGUAGACUCGCUACGCAGACGCCCGUGUCCAUGUUGUGUCCUGGCCAGAUCGCUGCUCUUCUCGUCCUGCACGCGCAGCCUUGCUGCACCGACUGCCUUCAGUGACACACGCGGAAAAGAGAGAGGCAACUUGAGGUUGUUUGGCUCCGAGGGAACGAGCAACGUUCACUGGCGGAGGAGAUCGACGCACUGUCGAGCGCCAACUGAGGCGGAGAAGAAGACAAUGACGCCAUUGAUUUGAAUCCUCCCGCUUCAAUUCCUUUGGCAGGGAAGGCAAGCAGACUGAUCUGAAGCUAACCGGCAUGGUCUUAGGUCCUGGGGGUGCAGUUGGCCGUGCUGGAACACUCCCCAGACGUGUCGCGGCACGCGCGCACGCCGGUGUCCCGUGCCUCCUCGACGAGCCGGAUGUUGAUCUUCUGGUCGAGCCACUACGGUAAAGCCACCCUCGGCACCCUGAAGCUGAGCAUGUCCAGCGAAGAUGAGCGCGUCGCCCACCGUGGUCGCCGCAUCCAGGUGCUGUAGGAGCUGCGCCGCAUUGCUAGCCCCCUAGACGCACAUGAACGGUUACCGGUGACGAGGAGGUCUUGGCCUAGCUCCUCCAUUGGCCAUGGCAGAGGCACGCACCGUGUAGACGAGAGUGGCUGGCGGACGGUGAAGGGGAGAGUAGCUGGUGGUGAUAGGACCGGCGGGUGGAGGAUGCGGCCAUGCGGGUGGAAGAGAGAGAUAAGGAAGAAGAAAUUGAGAAAAGAAGAUGAGUGGUCGGCAAGUGGGACAGUAGUCCACCUUCAACUGGUCAAAUGUCAACUUGGACUUGUCUUUGCCAUGUCAGCCUGACAGGUGGGCCCAACCUGUCGGUUUCCCUUAUUUCACGAUCAAAUCGACGUGUUCCGCGUUAAGCGUUAGACGCACAAUUGGUGUUUUUUGUGUUCACGCUUAAAU